rnacentral:rRNA from 1 species
AUUGAACGCUGGCGGCAGGCCUAACACAUGCAAGUCGAGCGGAUGAAGGGAGCUUGCUCCUGGAUUCAGCGGCGGACGGGUGAGUAAUGCCUAGGAAUCUGCCUGGUAGUGGGGGAUAACGUCCGGAAACGGGCGCUAAUACCGCAUACGUCCUGAGGGAGAAAGUGGGGGAUCUUCGGACCUCACGCUCUCAGAUGAGCCUAGGUCGGAUUAGCUAGUUGGUGGGGUAAAGGCCUACCAAGGCGACGAUCCGUAACUGGUCUGAGAGGAUGAUCAGUCACACUGGAACUGAGACACGGUCCAGACUCCUACGGGAGGCAGCAGUGGGGAAUAUUGGACAAUGGGCGAAAGCCUGAUCCAGCCAUGCCGCGUGUGUGAAGAAGGUCUUCGGAUUGUAAAGCACUUUAAGUUGGGAGGAAGGGCAGUAAGUUAAUACCUUGCUGUUUUGACGUUACAAACAGAAUAAGCACCGGCUAACUUCGUG